rnacentral:rRNA from 1 species
GACGAACCGUGCGAACGUUUGUUCGGAUUCACUGGGCUUAAAGGGCGCGUAGGCGGUCGACCAAGUCUGGGGUGAAAUCUUUCGGCUCAACCGGAAAAGUGCCCCCGAUACUGGCCGGCUAGAGGGAGAUAGGGGCUGCGGAACUUCCGGUGGAGCGGUGAAAUGCGUAGAUAUCGGAAGGAACGCCGGUGGCGAAAGCGGCGUGCUGGAUCUCUUCUGACGCUGAGGCGC